rnacentral:rRNA from 1 species
GGACGGAGUGACAGGUGCUGCAUGGCCGUCGUCAGUUCGUACUGUGAAGCAUCCUGUUAAGUCAGGCAACGAGCGAGACCCACGCCAACAGUUGCCAGCUCGUCCUCCGGGAUGGUGGGGACACUGUUGGGACCGCCUCUGCUAAAGAGGAGGAAGGAAUGGGCAACGGUAGGUCAGCAUGCCCCGAAUUAUCUGGGCUACACGCGGGCUACAAUGGGUGGGACAAUGGGUAUCGACACCGAAAGGUGAAGGCAAUCUCCUAAACCCAUCCGUAGUUCGGAUUGUGGGCUGCAACUCGCCCACAUGAAGCUGGAAUCUGUAGUAAUCGUGUCUCAAAAUGGCACGGUGAAUAUGUCCCUGCUCCUU